GCGCCAAGAGCGAUUGCGGGGCGUGGGGGAUGAAUACCUCAUAUCAGAGGACGAGCGGUAAAACCGUUGGUCAUUCCUUCGGUGGCUGUGGAACUAGCAAUAUGCCAGAUAGUGCCUUAGUAUAUAUAUUUUCUACUUUUAUACAUCAUACGUCACAAAGGGGAUGACCGAAACUACUUAAAGGGAAACGUUUUUCCAAUAGGCAAUAUUUAUUGCGAAGGAUCCGAAUUUAGCAAUAUCUGAAUUGUAAUACAUUUCAGAGGAGAUACACGAAUUUCAACUACGGCCACCGUGAUACUUAAAUAUUCGACAUCCGAAGUGAAACAUAUUUAAAUUGGCACCUGCUCUUCUUCCGUACAUCCGACGAUACAUACUACGUGGAUAGUACAAAUGUCUGAUCAUCAACCCGAUUAAGGGAGGAUGUGCUAUUUGAAAUUGAACCAUCACAAAUCCUCCGGAUGGUAUUCGAGUCAAUUUGGCGAGAAAGGCACCUAAUCAUCUGGUGUGCGGAAGCAACAUGUCGCCAUUGCUAAGCUAUCACGAUCGCAACCAUCCAUUUGAAUACUGGAUUUUAAUAAACGAGCACAUUGGACUGUGGAAACAGAAGAUCGUUUCAAGAAACAUUUCUAAAAUGUAAGCAGCCAUUGCUCGUUGAUUAAUAUACUUGAAAUGCCUGUAUCUUCUAUGAAUGUAUUAUAAUUUAGAUAUUGGUAAAUUCAGAUUUUUCGCAAUAAAUGUCGCCUAUUGGAAUUGCUUUCGCCUUUAAUUUGUUUCCCAUAUCUCUAAAACCGGUCCAAUUGCGUAGAUUGUUUAAGACCGAUCAAAGUCAUUCGUACGUUUUAAUUGGAUAAUUACCAAACUUAAAGCAAAUGAUGCCUUUUAAAUGCCUUCUAAAUACCCUUUUUAUAAUAUAGAAAUGAAAUUUUAUAAUAGAUAUUUUACAAAUGACUACAGCUAAAUUUAAAGAAUAUUGAUGUAUUAAACGAAUGACUAGUAUUACUGAUGAAAUUGAUUUGGCCGUUUGGAUUAUUUGAAAAGAUAUU